AACGAACGCUGGCGGCAUCCCUAACACACGCAAGUCGAACGAAGGCUUCGGCCUUAGUUGCGCACGGGUACGUAACGCCCGGGAAUCUGCCCUUGGCCUCGGAAUCAUAGCUAGAAAUGACCGAUCAACCCGGACGACCUCACAAGACCAAAGAUUUAUCGGCAAAGGAUGCGCCCGCCUACGAUCAGCUAGUAGGUGUGGUAAAGGCCCGCCAAGGCGACGAUCCUUAGCUGGUCUGCGAGGAUGAUCAGCCACACUGGGACUGAGACACGGCCCAGACUCCUACGGGAGGCAGCAGUAGGGAAUAUUGGACAAUGGGCGAAGGCGUGAUCCAGCAAUGCCGCGUGGGUGAUGAAGGCCUUAGGGUUGUAAAGCUCUUUUACCCGGGAUGAUAAUGACAGUACCGGGGGAAUAAGCUCCGGCUAACUCCGUG
rnacentral:rRNA from 1 species